rnacentral:rRNA from 1 species
UUAAAACUUUCAACAACGGAUCUCUUGGUUCUGGCAUCGAUGAAGAACGCAGCGAAAUGCGAUAAGUAAUGUGAAUUGCAGAAUUCAGUGAAUCAUCGAAUCUUUGAAUGCACAUUGCGCCCCUUGGUAUUCCGGGGGGCAUGCCUGUUCGAGCGUCAUUGCACCACUCAAGCUCAGCUUGGUAUUGGGCCU